rnacentral:rRNA from 1 species
GACGAACGCUGGCGGCGUGCUUAACACAUGCAAGUCGAACGGAAAGGCCCUGCUUGCAGGGUGCUCGAGUGGCGAACGGGUGAGUAACACGUGGGUGAUCUGCCCCUUAUUUUGGGAUAAGCCUGGGAAACUGGGUCUAAUACUGGAUAGGACCAUGCUGUAGGUGGUGUGGUGGAAAGAUUAGUUUCGGUAAGGGAUGAGCUCGCGGCCUAUCAGCUUGUUGGUGGGGUAAUGGCCUACCAAGGCGUCGACGGGUAGCCGGCCUGAGAGGGUGGACGGCCACAUUGGGACUGAGAUACGGCCCAGACUCCUACGGGAGGCAGCAGUGGGGAAUAUUGCACAAUGGGCGCAAGCCUGAUGCAGCGACGCCGCGUGGGGGAUGACGGCCCUCGGGUUGUAAACUCCUUUCAGCCAUGACGAAGCCCUUGUGGUGACGGUAGUGGUAGAAGAAGCACCGGCUAACUACGU